rnacentral:piRNA from 1 species
UUUCCAAAUGACUCAAAGGACAGACAGGA